AUGACCGUGUCGCUCCUGACCGGCACCGGGAAGUUCAACAUCAGCGACUUCGUGCCGGCGCUGUCGUGGCUAGACCUGCAGGGAGUGCAGGCCAAGCUGCGCCGAGUGCACCGCCAGUUCGACGGGCUCAACACGAAGCUGCUGGUGCCUGGUGGAGCACGCGGCAACGGACGAAGAGCGCGCCUGGGAGGAGGGCCGGUUGGACUUCGUGGACAUGCUUCGGUUGGUGGCUUGGAGCAGGCCGGGGCGAGGCGGAAAACGCGAGUGCCGAGCAGAGGACGAAGCAAGGAUGAGCGGCGCGGGAUCGGCCGGACCUCUGGGGGGCGUGUCGCAGGUGGCGGAGGCUGUGGGCGGGGCCGUCCGAAUCGGAUUGGAGGCGAGGCUGCUGGCCGGAUCCGGAGCGGGCCGGCGACUGGGGCAGGACGGCCAGAUCAGACCCAUGGCAGAGGAGCUUCCAUGGCGCCUAUGGGUUCCUCACUGAUAAGGGGUGAUGCCCUGGCUCUGGCCAGCCACCACGGCCGCGCGCACUCCAGGAGAGUGGAGUGCAUCGUCGGCAUAACACAUGUAGAAGAGGAGGAGCAACACUGGGUGAUAGUGGCUGGAGAAGAGGAGGAGUAG
rnacentral:rRNA from 1 species